rnacentral:rRNA from 1 species
GAUGAACGCUGGCGGCGUGCCUAAUACAUGCAAGUCGAGCGAACGGACGAGAAGCUUGCUUCUCUGAUGUUAGCGGCGGACGGGUGAGUAACACGUGGAUAACCUACCUAUAAGACUGGGAUAACUUCGGGAAACCGGAGCUAAUACCGGAUAAUAUUUUGAACCGCAUGGUUCAAAAGUGAAAGACGGUCUUGCUGUCACUUAUAGAUGGAUCCGCGCUGCAUUAGCUAGUUGGUAAGGUAACGGCUUACCAAGGCAACGAUGCAUAGCCGACCUGAGAGGGUGAUCGGCCACACUGGAACUGAGACACGGUCCAGACUCCUACGGGAGGCAGCAGUAGGGAAUCUUCCGCAAUGGGCGAAAGCCUGACGGAGCAACGCCGCGUGAGUGAUGAAGGUCUUCGGAUCGUAAAACUCUGUUAUUAGGGAAGAACAGAUGUGUAAGUAACUGUGCACAUCUUGACGGUACCUACUCAGAAAGCCACGGCUAACUACGUG